UUCUUGUAGGCAUUCGGUGAUCAAGGGACGAAGGCUGGAGUAUUCGAAAGUGAUUAGAUACCGCAGUAGUUCCAGCAGUAAAAAGAUGCCGACAUGCUCAUUGGACACAGUGGGCAGGGAGAAAUCUUAGAGUUCGGGCUCUGGGGAUAGUAUGCUCGCAAGGGUGAAAAUUAAAGAAAUUGACGGAGCUACACCACAAGGAGUGGAUUGUGCGGCUUAAUUUGACUCAACGCGAGGAAACUUACCAGGGCCAAGUAUUGUGUAGAAACGAGCAAUACAGGAGUGGUGCAUGGUCGUUGGAAAUUGAUGGGAUGACUUUGACCUUAAAUGGUUGAAUGAGUGAGAUCUUUUGGACAUGUUCCGCACGGAACAGGAAGGAAAAGGCUAUAACAGAUCCGAGAUGCCCUCAGAUGCCCUGGGCUGCACGCGCAAUACAAUAGCAGGUAGAGAGAGAGACAGGAAGGUGCUCAGAUGGACUAUGUGCUGUAAGGCACAUACGAAAGAGGAAUUCCUAGUAAGU
rnacentral:rRNA from 1 species